CAUCUGCUCUCAGAUUCACACUGUGCAAAUUGUUGUGAAAAAGGAGAAUCAAAUAGUCCAGUACCCUCUGCAUGUUAAAGGUUUAUCCUUCUGUCAUCUCCAGGUGACCCCUAUACUAGCUCUUAGGUAUCUCUUAGUGGAGAUAUAAAUGUAAAGAAUAACCUACUCCCCGUAUGUAAGUAGAGGGCUAUAGAUAUUUAGAAAGACUUGGGCACCUCACUCCUGUUUGUGCCUUUGGAAAGCUCCUUAGCCCUUGAAAGGAACAGAGUAAAUUGCUGUGUGAACAGAAGAGGAAGCAUGAUAGUGUUUUCAUGCCAAGGCAGACAGUACUUCUUAAGAGAGAUUUCUGAAAAAUGAGUGAAAGUUAAACGUGGCUUCCCUCAGAGAGUGGAACUGAGGGACAGGACAGGCAGUAGAGGGGAGUACAAGGUAACGUGAUACAUGCCCGUCUAUUACUGGUAGCUGGAUGGAUUCAGAGGGUAUCCUAACAGAGCUCUCUUUGCAGAGUUAAGAGUAUUUGAGAGGUGGCUUUGUUUGAACACAACUGGCACACAGGCGGCUGCUAUUUUCGCACAGCUUUGGGAAAAUAUUGAGCCUAUGGAAAAAAGAGGGUAUAUGUUUAUUUCAACUAUUGUUGGCUUCCAGUCCACCAGGAAGACCAAGCUUCUCCCUCAUACAGGAAGUAAAUCUGUAAGCAUGACCUCAGACCAAGCUAGACCACAACCUACAGCAUCCAAAGGUCCCGUGUGCUUACACAUACCCAGCUGGCCUGUGUACCACCACAGAGGUUUGCGCAGUGAGUCUGCAGGCAGGUUGUAAGGCAGCCAGUAAUUGGGGAAGGCACGGGGGCCGUCCAGUGUACCUUGUUCAUACCUGCCCUCAUAGCCAGCAGGUCUCCCACUGUGGCCCUAGGAGAGCUCACACACUGAAUUUUAGAUCUACUGCCAAGUGACACCACUGGAAGGCUCUGAUUUGUUCAACCCAGUUGUGACUUGGUAUCCUUGUGAGGAAGUGCAUGCGUUGUAGAGGAAGGAGGGAAGAGGAGAAAAAAGUGACUGGGGGAAGGCAAAGGGAAAUGAAAUGUUCUGAUGGGAAAGGGUCUGAUUUUAUUUCUUGGAACUGUGGGUAUAAUGGAGCAAGGAGAUGUGUAAUACAGUCAGAUCUCUCUUGCUCUUUAUUGUUCGUACAUAUGUAUUCCCAUCUCCUCCUGGUUCCCUUAUAGGAAAUUUGCAGAAAAAAAUAAAAGCAGUCUGUGUUUUUAUUACUUGGGGAGUAUUACGAAUAUUCAUGCCUGUAGCAGACAGUAGAAUAUGUGUGCAGUACAGCAUGAAAGACCUGCUUGUUACUAUGAAGGCUUGAUAACUAUAGAUGCUAUCCUAACAGUGACUCAGACCCAUCCUGGUUUUGCAAUAAUCAUUUUUCUGCUAGCAACUCUCAGAAAAAUGUUAUUACCCUAAUUUCCCAAGAAAACAAGUAGCUGUCUGUCUGUCUGCCAGUGGCCCUAGAUAUGAGAGGGGGAAAUAAGGCUAGUAGGUAUUAUGAUCCUACAGUGAGCCUGUGCAGCUGUGGGGCUCCAUCUGAUCUUUGAGACCAUUUCCUUGAAGUGCCAGGAGCUGAAAUACACAGUGUUCUGCAGCUUUGCUUGGCAACUAAGAGGCAGUGGUCAGGUUGCUAGUCAGCAUAUGUGUACCAAACAUACUGGCUGGCCCGUGUUAGCACACCAAUGAGUAACCUUCGGGUUAAUCACAAUACUUAUUUUCUCUUGCCCACCCAGCACAUCAAAAGGGAUAGCUAGACAGGCCACAUGAAGGUGGGUAUCACAGUGGCCAGCCUAAGGGAGACCCACAAGUCUGUUGCAGUGCUAAAAUACCUAGGAUCAUAGGAAAGCAGGUUUCAGUAAGUCUGCUGCUCACAGACCCAAUAGUUUUUUUUUUUUAAUGCAGAUGGGUCAGAAAUUGGAAUUAGAUCAGUAUUUCCCCCUGCCUUGGGGAUCAGACCCAGGGUUUUUGAAGGGCGUCAAAUCCAAUGCUGCUUAUGCCUCUUGGAGAGUAAGCAAAAGGACCUGCCAUCCCUUUUCCAUGACUUAAGUCUCUCACCCUGAAAUUGCUGGAGAAAUUACAGUUUCUGAGAAAGUAAUGCUGAAGAGGAGUUGCUUUCCAUGCUCAUUCCAAGGAGAGUAGCCUUCGCACAGAAAUUAUUGAAGUGGAGCUAUUUGGGAGGAUAGGAAGGAACGAUUCACAAGCAUUUUACUACUUUGAUUUCAAGGACGUUACAGUACGACUGAGGUCAGAAGAGUGCUUGGAUCAAAGUUAUGACCAGUGAAACUGUGGAAUUCCAUGUUUACAAAUCCUUUCAUUGAUCUCAAGCUCAAAAAUGGUCUCUUAAAUGACUUUAAAAUGCAGCUUUUGUUGUGGUUGCUCACUCUGAACGCUUUCGUUAUGCACCUCCCAACUCUUGAACUGUUACCAUUAAGAAAGUUGAAUUUAGCAGGUAGUUUUUUUGGUAAUGUGCUUUUGAGCUCCAUACCAAUUGCACCUAUGCAUUUAUCUGUGCAGUAUGUUACUGAAUGUUUUGCAACUUCUGCUCACAGAAAAUGGCUUUCCUUACUGUGGUUCCUUUUGUCCUUUAUCCACAAAAAGGCUAAAUUUUGCUGUUGUAAAAUGGUUCAUCUGUUCUGAGAACAAGACUGGGGAAAACAACAUUGUUUUAUCCACGUUCAAAUAAUUCUGUUGACUGGAAAGCUGUUUUCCUCUCUCCUUCACCUUAGCACCCAGUUGUCUGAGUUGUGCCUUCUGCAGGCCCCAUGGAAACCCAUUCCAGUAGGGCUACUCUAGAAGAAUCCCAAUUCUCCCAUGUUCACAGGGGAUUUGUGUAGGUAAAUGUCCCCAUGGCUCAGAGGCAGAGCCUGAGCCUGCAGCAAGCCCCGUGGCUAUAGCCCAGUGGUUCACUUUGAAUGCAGAAGCAGAGUCUUAUUUUCUAAACAGACUGCUUGAUUUCUCACAUGUAAUGAAGUGUUUUAAUGCAUAUGGGUCUGUUAUUUACCAUCUUCCACCAUAACUGUUUAGUACGUCCCCUUUUUGUUUUUGUUUCUGUGAAACGGUGUCAUUAAAUUUACCCACUUUAACAAAGUAAGUGGAGACAUCUACAAAUAAAGCACUGUGAAUCAUCA